GGAAGGGGCGGCGUGCUAUACAUGCAAGUCGAACGAACUCUGGUAUUGAUUGGUGCUUGCAUCAUGAUUUACAUUUGAGUGAGUGGCGAACUGGUGAGUAACACGUGGGAAACCUGCCCAGAAGCGGGGGAUAACACCUGGAAACAGAUGCUAAUACCGCAUAACAACUUGGACCGCAUGGUCCGAGCUUGAAAGAUGGCUUCGGCUAUCACUUUUGGAUGGUCCCGCGGCGUAUUAGCUAGAUGGUGGGGUAACGGCUCCACCAUGGCAAUGAUACCGUAGCCGACCUGAGAGGGUAAUCGGCCACAUUGGGACUGAGACACGGCCCAAACUCCUACGGGAGGCAGCAGUAGGGAAUCUUCCACAAUGGACGAAAGUCUGAUGGAGCAACGCCGCGUGAGUGAAGAAGGGUUUCGGCUCGUAAAACUCUGUUGUUAAAGAAGAACAUAUCUGAGAGUAACUGUUCAGGUAUUGACGGUAUUUAACCAGAAAGCCACGGCUAACUACGUGCCAGCAGCCGCGGUAAUACGUAGGUGGCAAGCGUUGUCCGGAUUUAUUGGGCGUAAAGCGAGCGCAGGCGGUUUUUUAAGUCUGAUGUGAAAGCCUUCGGCUCAACCGAAGAAGUGCAUCGGAAACUGGGAAACUUGAGUGCAGAAGAGGACAGUGGAACUCCAUGUGUAGCGGUGAAAUGCGUAGAUAUAUGGAAGAACACCAGUGGCGAAGGCGGCUGUCUGGUCUGUAACUGACGCUGAGGCUCGAAAGUAUGGGUAGCAAACAGGAUUAGAUACCCUGGUAGUCCAUACCGUAAACGAUGAAUGCUAAGUGUUGGAGGGUUUCCGCCCUUCAGUGCUGCAGCUAACGCAUUAAGCAUUCCGCCUGGGGAGUACGGCCGCAAGGCUGAAACUCAAAGGAAUUGACGGGGGCCCGCACAAGCGGUGGAGCAUGUGGUUUAAUUCGAAGCUACGCGAAGAACCUUACCAGGUCUUGACAUACUAUGCAAAUCUAAGAGAUUAGACGUUCCCUUUCGGGGACAUGGAUACAGGUGGUGCAUGGUUGUCGUCAGCUCGUGUCGUGAGAUGUUGGGUUAAGUCCCGCAACGAGCGCAACCCUUAUUAUCAGUUGCCAGCAUUAAGUUGGGCACUCUGGUGGAGACUGCCGGUGACAAACCGG
rnacentral:rRNA from 2 species